AACGAACGCUGGCGGCAUGCCUAACACAUGCAAGUCGAACGAGACCUUCGGGUCUAGUGGCGCACGGGUUCGUAACCCGUGGGAACCUUCCCUUAUGUUCGGAAUAACUCCCCGAAAGGGGUGCUAAUACCGGAUAAUGUCUUCGGACCAAAGAUUUAUCGCGUUUGGAUGGGCCCGCGUUGGAUUAGCUGGUUGGUAGGGUAAAAGCCUACCAAGGCGACGAUCCAUAGCUGGUCUGAGAGGAUGAUCAGCCACACUGGGACUGAGACACGGCCCAGACUCCUACGGGAGGGAGCAGUGGGGAAUAUUGGAAAAUGGGCGAAGGCCUGAACCAGCAAGGCCGGGUGAGUGAUGAAGGCCGUAGGGUUGUAAAGCUCUUUUACCCGGGAUGAUAAUGACAGUACCGGGAGAAUAAGCUCCGGCUAACUCCGUG
rnacentral:rRNA from 1 species